CAGGAGGAAUCAAAGCAUCCAUCACAACUGUAGCUGACAAAGGAAAGGAGCCAAGAGGCGGUGACUCCAGCUAUGCUGAGCUGCUCUGAAUUAGGAAUUGUCUGUAAUUUGAAUGCCAAAGGAUGAUGAGGUAUCAUGAUCUGGCAUAAUGCAAGGAUACAAGGCAAACUACUUGCAGAGAAUGAUGGAUUUCAUAUCACAGGCCUCAAAGUGGCUAGCUGCUACGGCAAGACUAAUUACUUUUAAUGGCUUGGAAAACCUGUUACUGACCUUUCGUUGAAGUGUGACAGAGAAGACAGCAGCAUAAAUUCACUCUCAGCUUUUUUUUUUUUUUACUCUGGUAUUGUCGUUUCUCAUAUACAGCUUGAGUUUUGAGCCAGAGACAGGUUGAAAGAUAUGCAAUCAUCAGUUCAGGGGCUCUAAAGCAAUGGAGACUUAUCAGCCGGUUCAAGAAAAGGAAAGGAAAGGAGGCCUUCUUCUCUGAACAGAACAUAACUCAUCAUCACACACUAUCACAAGCAAUUUGUUCAUAGAAAAUCAAUUCAGUCCUCUGACCAAUACCUCCUAAACCUUAUCUCUUCUUUAUCUCUCACAGGAAAUAAAUUACCUGGUACUAUGAUAACUCAAUGAUAAACUCAAAUGAUAAAAAUAAAGGACAUUUCCCAUGGGAGAAGGACACUAGUUCAUUUAAUUCAGUAUUCUGUUUUUAUAAUACUGUAAAAGGGGCCAGUUUUGAGGAGUGGGUGAUAAUUUUUCUUUGAUAACUAUAUAAAAAUAUUAAUUCUUAAGGUAAUU